rnacentral:lncRNA from 1 species
GCGGCCCUUCCGGUGGGGCAGCGCGGCCGCGGCCCGGCCGGGCUCCGGUGGGAAUGGAGCCUCGUAACGCGUCUGUGCUCCCGGCCGGCAGCGCCACUGCCGCUGGAUGUGCGCGGGAGAGGGCCCAGGGUCACUGGGAAGCAUGGGACAAGACCUGAACGAUAACUUCUUACAAGACCUGAAUGAUAACUUCUUGCAAGGUGCAGCGGGGAGAGAAGCAGCAAGUUGUGCUGGAACAGUUUCUGGAGAAAUGCGACACAAAAGGUUAAAUCUGUGCCUGAGCUGAGAGAGGAUGGAAUCUGCUGGGACGGCUUAGCCUGGAAGAGAGCUGUCAUGGAGAUGGUCCAGACUCUGGUUUUCCUGCAGUCUGCUGGUUUACACGAGACCCCAAAGUGUUUCCUUAAAGCACUUCAAAGGAAUUUCAGCUGAUGGGUCAGAAGUUGCUGUUGGCUGCCAUCACAAAGACACACAGAGGACAUUUGAAGUUUUCCCUGUUGUGUGCCUAGUGAGCCAACAGGGAGCAGGUGUUCCCUGUGGAGCUGUGGGGUUUUCAGCCUGGCCAGUGCCUCUGUACCAGCAGCAGGGCUGCACCUGGAAGCCAGAGCCAGUGCAUGGCCAGAGGAGCUCGACAGGCAGACAGGUCCUGACUUCUUUACACAGGUGUGUGUUUACUCUGUCUAGCCCUAACCUCUGCUCUGGUAUGCAUUAAAUAUUGCUUGUUUAUCCAAGGUGAUAAGCACUGCUGUUGACAAAAGCCUUGGG